UGGAGCCUACGGGGGGCAGCAGUGGGGAAUAUUGCACAAUGGGGGAAACCCUGAUGCAGCGACGCCGCGUGAGCGAUGAAGUAUUUCGGUAUGUAAAGCUCUAUCAGCAGGGAAGAAAAUGACGGUACCUGACUAAGAAGCCCCGGCUAACUACGUGCCAGCAGCCGCGGUAAUACGGAGGGGGCGAGCGUUAUCCGGAAUGAUUGGGCGUAAAGGGUGCGUAGGCGGCCUGCUAAGUCUGGAGUGAAAGGUACCGGCUCAACCGGUACAGGCUCUGGAAACUGGCGGGCUAGAGAGCAGGAGAG
rnacentral:rRNA from 1 species